AGAGUUUGAUCCUGGCUCAGGAUGAACGCUAGCGGCAGGCCUAACACAUGCAAGUCGAACGGUAACAGAGAAAAGCUUGCUUUUUUGCUGACGAGUGGCGCACGGGUGAGUAACGCGUAUACAAUCUACCUUUUACAGUGGGAUAGCCCAGAGAAAUUUGGAUUAAUACCGCAUAGUAUUAUUAAUUGGCAUCGAUUGAUAACUUAAAGUUUCGGCGGUAAAAGAUGAGUAUGCGUUCUAUUAGCUAGAUGGUAAGGUAACGGCACACCAUGGCAACGAUAGAUAGGGGCCCUGAGAGGGGGAUCCCCCACACUGGUACUGAGACACGGACCAGACUCCUACGGGAGGCAGCAGUGAGGAAUAUUGGACAAUGGGCGAGCCUGAUCCAGCCAUGCCGCGUGCAGGAAGACUGCCCUAUGGGUUGUAAACUGCUUUUAUACAGGAAGAAACCUCGACGUGUCUGAGCUUGACGGUACUGUAAGAAUAAGGAUCGGCUAACUCCGUGCCAGCAGCCGCGGUAAUACGGAGGAUCCAAGCGUUAUCCGGAAUCAUUGGGUUUAAAGGGUCCGUAGGUGGAUAAUUAAGUCAGGGGUGAAAGUCUGCAGCUCAACUGUAGAAUUGCCUUUGAUACUGGUUAUCUUGAAUUAUUGUGAAGUGGUUAGAAUAUGUAGUGUAGCGGUGAAAUGCAUAGAUAUUACAUAGAAUACCAAUUGCGAAGGCAGAUCACUAACAAUAUAUUGACACUGAUGGACGAAAGCGUGGGGAGCGAACAGGAUUAGAUACCCUGGUAGUCCACGCCGUAAACGAUGGAUACUAGCUGUUCGGUUUUCGGACUGAGUGGCUAAGCGAAAGUGAUAAGUAUCCCACCU
rnacentral:rRNA from 1 species